rnacentral:rRNA from 1 species
GAUGAACGCUGGCGGCGUGCCUAAUACAUGCAAGUCGAGCGAACAGACGAGGAGCUUGCUCCUCUGACGUUAGCGGCGGACGGGUGAGUAACACGUGGAUAACCUACCUAUAAGACUGGGAUAACUUCGGGAAACCGGAGCUAAUACCGGAUAAUAUAUUGAACCGCAUGGUUCAAUAGUGAAAGACGGUUUUGCUGUCACUUAUAGAUGGAUCCGCGCCGCAUUAGCUAGUUGGUAAGGUAACGGCUUACCAAGGCAACGAUGCGUAGCCGACCUGAGAGGGUGAUCGGCCACACUGGAACUGAGACACGGUCCAGACUCCUACGGGAGGCAGCAGUAGGGAAUCUUCCGCAAUGGGCGAAAGCCUGACGGAGCAACGCCGCGUGAGUGAUGAAGGUCUUCGGAUCGUAAAACUCUGUUAUUAGGGAAGAACAAAUGUGUAAGUAACUAUGCACGUCCUGACGGUACCUAAUCAGAAAGCCACGGCUAACUACGUG